GCAACCUGGUUGUGUAGACCAGAGAGAAAUACAAGGGGACAUUGCUGAGAAUCCAGGUGGAAGGAACAUCUGCUGGACCUUCCAAUUGAUGUUCUCUCUUACACUCAGCCAAUGGGAUGAUGUCUUGCUUUCCCUGGUCAGUCUUAAGUCCUUCA
rnacentral:lncRNA from 1 species